AUUCUAACUCUGAGCACUUAUU
rnacentral:miRNA from 1 species